rnacentral:rRNA from 1 species
UACGGAGGGGGCUAGCGUUGUUCGGAAUUACUGGGCGUAAAGCGCGCGUAGGCGGACCUGCAAGUCGGGGGUGAAAGCCCGAGGCUCAACCUCGGAACUGCCUUCGAUACUGCGGGUCUCGAGUCCGGGAGAGGUGAGUGGAAUUCCUAGUGUAGCGGUGAAAUGCGCAGAUAUCAGGAAGAACACCCGUGGCGAAGGCGGCUCUCUGGGACGGUACUGACGCUGAGACGCGAAAGCGUGGGGAGCGAACAGG